GCUACAAAUGGGGGUGGAGCAAAAGCAAAGAGAAAGAAAGGGGUGUGGAGCUAUACUGUAAGCCAGAAACACUCCCACAUUCAUUCUUACACUCUAAGCACAUACCAAGAGCUCAUUCCGGGUUUUCCCGCACCGUCGAAGAGGGGACACACCAGAAACUGCUUGGUCUCGCACAGAAUUUGUUUCAUUCAUCGUAGCUGAGAACCACUGAAAGAUUUUGUUGACGUAGACAAAAGGAAACUGAAUCUGGAUUUAUACAACACUGUCACACUUGUGGAUUUAGAUUUCUGAUACUUAGGAUAUUGCCUCUGUGCGGCGUGUGGAAUUUGCCGGUCAUGUCUGGACGAGUGAGUGUGUUCACUCACACCGUUAGCCGCCUGUUGUGACCACUGCGGUCCUCCUCAGUUUCAAGGUGCCACACGCUUUUGAGGUGAAAGCCUGAAGCCUCAAGUUCACAGGAAACGCUUCGUCAUCAGCCACAUACAGCACUCCUAUGUCUGACGGCCCCGUGAUGGGAGAGGCUAUCCCCUUGCAGACAGUACCCAUCCAGAAGUCGGAAGGAAAGAGGCCCAGCAGACGGAUCAAGCUUUACAGGAAGCUGGCUGUCUGCAGCAUUAUCUGUGGGAUAUCUUGCUUGGGCAUUCUGGCUCUGAUCAACUCUGUCAGAGCACAGGAGAAGAGGGACACAGAUGUGGAGAGCGCUCAGAAGUUUUCCCGUCAGGCACGGAAAUAUAGCGUCAUCGCCAUCGUGGUGUGGGUGGGGAUCCUGGUUCUCACCCCGGUCAUGAUGGCCUUGGUAUCAUACCUGCUGCGUAUUGCAGAGUGACUCAGUUUACAGCUUAGUCCACGUUCCAGACGGGCCGCUUUUGUCCAACUGGGCGUGGAAAUCCAGUUCCUAUGGCCAUGACUCCUGCCUGCCUUCUAGUAACAGUAUAACAGGUCAGACAUGGUGCCUAUGACGACUGCCGGCAGCCAGGCAAAUCCCAUUCAUACACUGAUUAAUUUUUGGAUGACAGAGCCAUUAAAAAGCAUUAACUUAAGAAUGACACUAAACAAUGCUCGGGAAUUUUGGUUUAAUGAUCAGGUCCUGUGUAGGCUCAAGAAAAGCAUCACGUGGCUAGUAUCUUAGUAGAAAAUUAAUCUUUUUGCGACUAUUUGGCAUUAAGUGUUACUCAUAUCUUAAAUUAUAUAAUGUUUCUUGGGUUAGUCUGACUUAAUUUAUGUUAUGGAGAAGAAAUUGUUACACUGUCAAUUUUAACUUGUUACAUUUUUUGAAUUUCAGAUUUUAUUUACUUUUAUUUACU